GCCAGGUGCAUUGGUAUACCCCUGUAAUCCCAGUGACUCAGGAGGCUGAAGCAGGAGGGUUUCAAGUUUGAGGCCAGCUUUAGGAACACAGUGAGACAAUUAGCUACUU
rnacentral:sRNA from 1 species